UUAUUAGAUCCAUGAAUAUGAUUCCUGAUGCUAUGGACAAGCUGGGGCCACAUGGUCUAGAGCUUGAGGAUGAGGAUGAGGAUGAUGACGAGGAUUAGGAUGAUAUACAAGUUAGUGAUCUUGUACCAAUUGGGCAUUCCAAUACUAACACACUUGCAUUAAGAUCCAUCGGGCUUCUCGUCAAUCAUUUCCUAGUGACGUUUAAUCAGUCAACGACUAUAUUUCUUUAUAAAUUUUAUGUUGCUUUUAAACAAGAGACAACCUCUUCUUCUAGUUCGUGCAUGAAAACAUCACUUCCAAAAUCAGACAUGCUAUUGAUCAAGGAGAAGUUAUGUUCUGCUGAGUCCCCCCAAAGCUUAUAAUGGCAGAGCCCAUUUAUAUAGUGCAGCUCCAUUGCAAGAGGGAUGUUACCAUGUUCAAAGAUUUCGCAAGUCUUAUCCAUGCAUAAUCACGUUUGUAAACCCUAAACCUUUCAGGACUACAACAUUUCUUGGAUGGAAAUUCUCAGAGUGUCCUUUAUGAUGUUCUGUGGGCAUUGAAUUCCAUAAUGAAGGCACAUCGUUUCAAGCUAAAGGUUUUGGUUGCUGGAGCCAUGUUCCCCCAUCGCUUCGACCAGUAGGCGACCUUCACUAUGGUACUGCUGCAUUUAGAGGAUCUAUCCAGAAGCUGAAGCUCACUUCUAACGGAUUGGUAAUGUAUACAGACUAUCGUUCCAUGCCAAUCUUAUGAAUUUGCAUGUUAUUUACUUCCUUUUAGAGUAUCUUCCACAAAUUCAGCAUACCAAGAACAUCCCAAUGUUUAUAGACGAUGUUAAGCUGGUGUUGCUGGACUGAGUGUGGGUGUGACUCAUCGCCCUUCAAACCAGAAGUAUAUCAUGUUUGGAGUGACUGACGAGCUAACAAAAGAUAUUCAGUUUGUACUAACAGAUCUUGUAGGGAAGGAACCACCGCAGGUAGUCAUGCUUUACGUACUACUUUAAGACAAAGUGGGGCACAAUGAUAGAGCACACAGAUCCCCCGUGCUUAAAAUUGGAAAGUGGUUCAAAGAUGAACUACGUCCCUGCCAAAUGUUGUUAUGUGGUUGAUGACAAAAUAAUUCCACCUAAGCAACUAACUAGGGAAGUUGUUUUGAAACUAGAUAAAUUGUUUAUACUAAUGCAACAAAUUAACAUUCAACGUUUAUAACCACAAAUAUAUGUGUAGAUUUA